ensembl:lincRNA
GCAGAAUGCCAGAUUCACUAUCUGUGUGAAGGGGGUAGCCGGGCACGUGUGUUGCUCCCAGCUGAGAGGCCCAGCCUCCCCAGCAGCACCCAGGCAGUCCACAGCCAGGCUGGAGAACACGUAGCCAGGCCCGCUCCCAUGGUCUUAGGUGCCUGUGGGGAAUCCCUGAGGCAGAAGCUUGCCAGAAUGGGGCAGAGGGCAGAAAGAGGCCUGCUGGAUUCUGGUGGGGCUACAGACUUGCCCUGCCCACUACUCACCAAAGCCUCUCUCCUGUGGGUGGUGGUUGUUUGCUUUUCAGGUUGCUCCCCUGAGGCCUGGGCAACAAGGAGCAACAAGGCAACGUGGAACAGAUCUGCUGAAUGUGACCCCAAAUGCAGAAGACCGAGGUGUUGACUAGAAGAGCUCUUCGCUAACAACUACUCCAGACCAUAUCAUUAACCAUAUGAACAUAGGAAAGGUAUGUAUCAGACUAUAACAGGGGCAAAUAUAUCACUUUUGUUCCAGGGAGGGUGAGUACUUAAUGUCCAUUUAACUGAAGCAUGCACUCCCCCAUUUGUUCCUUCAGAACAAUGAGAUGACUGUAAAAAUCCAGCUUAGCAAAACUAGAUUUAAUUCAGUUAGCCCUGUGGUGAGAUGCCGCCCAGCAGUCCAGCACCAGACAGCCUCAUUGAUUUAUUUUCCUCUCCUUUCUUUCUCUGUCAUUUCCAUUUUCCUUCAUUUCUUUCAUACACAGGCGAAAGUUGGUAAUUACUCUUCUGUUUCUUGUUCAAAUGAGGAUGGGUAGAGAAUAUUUUAACACUGACCUUCGCAGUUAGUCAGUAAGGAAUCUUUGCCUCAAGCUCCCUCAAGCACUGCCCCAGGUGCCCCAACGGCCACAUCCCAGCUAUUACCCUGCCCCUCUCCCAGUCCCCACUAUCCAGCAACUAAAUGGCUACAACCCUGCUCCAGCACAAGGACCAACUUAUCAGCCCUGCUUCUCUUAGCAUUUGUUGCAGCAAAAGGUAAUAACGUAAAUGACUUUUCACAUUUCUAUUACCUUGGGCCCAAAGAUCUCAAAUGGUAUAUUCUCAAAUUGAAUUUUUGUUUGUUUGUUUCGUAGACCAUAAUGGGUUCCCAAAUCCAUAAAUCUGUUUUAAAUUCAAGUUCCAUAAUCUCAAAUUCCAGAGCUCUCGAAUCUCUAUGAACUUCAAUUUUUUUUUUUCAUGUUAACACAACAUGUGAUCAAAGAUAGGGUAUUUAUUUUCAAUUAUAUAAUAAACGUUGAGAAUUAGGGAAUCAUCAUAAAAACAAGUAACGCAAUUAAAACUGAAUUUUAAAACUGGUACAUUCAUUUUUAAAACCUUGAUCCACUUCUUUCUCCCCAAAGCAAACAUCAUUAAUGGAGUAAUUCAUUUUCCCCCUUUGUCACCAGGAAAAGAAGAAUCACAGCGCCUUCAGAAUCUGAUUCCCUGCCUGCUGAGCACAGCGUACAAUUAAAGUACAAAUAAAUAAAACAAAUUAUGCCAUGUAUUUGUUCAUUCUUUUCACUCUGGAAAGAUUUUAGGCGGCCUGUUGUUUAUUAUAGGGCAGAAUGGGUAGGAACAAUGUGAUUUUAGUUUGUUUGGCCUGUUUAGAAUGUGAACUCUGAAAGAAGAAGAGGCCAUACUUUUGGGGUGCCAUCUAUGGGUGCACCAAAAUUAAAUUUUCCAUUUUCACCAUGAAGAACAGGAAGUAUUUGGGUUGAUCAGUAAAAUAAGGUGGAAGAAGCAAAAAUUCAUACCAAAGAAAUCUUUUGGUUUACCAUUCAGUAGUAGUGUGAACUUGUCAGCUUUUUUUAUGACCUUCAAUAACCUAUGGGCACCCUUAUCCCCCAUUAAUGGACACUGUAUGUUUCUGUUUCUUUCUUGAACAGGUAUUAGGCAUAUCAUGUUGGAUUUGGAUGUGACUGUCGCUUUGACUCUAUGGGAUAUGGAACACCCUUCUGGUGAAAGGUGAGGCCUUUGAAGAAACAGAGGAUAUUAUUACCACUUAUCAGAAAGAGGCCAAGUUUCAGAACCUGGACAACUAAACUUGCACAGGAGGGAACAAGGAAGACCUUAC